AUGCGCCCGAGUUCACGGCCGCGCCACCGCUUCCUCCUCCGGCCAGGCUCCCCCGGCCCCGGUCGCCACGCCGCCGUCCUUCUUCAAGGUCAUGACGGGCUCCUUCUCCGAAAAACUGGUGCGAAUCCGCAUUCCCAUUUUCCUCUCACAACCAGACAUGUGUGUGCACUGCAAUGGUUCGGAGAUUCUUCACCGGGGAUGCACCGGUGCAUGCAGGACGUGCCGCCCCCGUUUGCCAAGAACAUUUCGGACCUGGCGGACACCAACGUCUACCUCGAAGACGCCUUCGGGCUCCGCUGGCGGGUGUACGUGAGCUCGCGCGACGGCCGCCUGUCGUUCGGGCACGGAUGGAGCAACUUCGUGCUGGACCACGCCGUCGCCGUCGGCGAGUUCCUGGUGUUCCGGCACAUCACCAGGUCAGUCUUCGUCGUCCAGAUCUUCGCUAAAUCCGCAUGUGAAAGGCUGCAUCUGUGCGAGAAGAACAAGAGGCAGAGCAAGAAGAGGAAGAAGCCCCAGGAGAAGGCGAGCUCCGACGGCGAUCGCACGGCGAAAGCAAGCAAGAAGAGCAGCAAGGAUAAAGAUAGGAAAAGCAGUAAAAAGAAGCAGCGUGCUUGUGAUCUGUUAGAUGGUGAUCAGGAUAGAGCUCACGGAGAUCAAGGUCAAGAUCAAGAUCACAUGGUGCUGAUAAGCACAGCAAACACUCAAGCUGAGAACUGUGGGGGCUCUGACUUUGGGACUUAUGCAGAACCGACAACACCUUUGGCCAUGAUGGAUCUCGACGAUGAGAUCACGGACGACAUAUUUCUGACAGCCGAUGCAUACGAAUUCGAAACUGAUCUCUGUAUUCCAGAAGAACCAGGAGUAUUUCCUGUGGACAAUGGUAUUGGUAUGGAAGCGCCCGUUACCCGGGGCCAAACUUCCGGUUUCAGCUGCGCCGAGAUGAUCGGCUCACGGAACUGCGACUCUUCCGUUGUCUGGCAUGAGCACAAGCCCUUUCCUCGUAUUGAUGCAGCAGAUCCUCCUAGUGAAUGCGCAACCGGCAAUUGCAAGAAGGAUACAGAUUAUAAGUUUAUGGAGUUCCUUUCCGAGGGCAACCAAGUUGACACAAAGGAAGCAAUUGUUCUAGUAGAAGAUUCGUCCGCGGAGCAAGACGAGGACCUGCGGAUGCAAGAUGGUGCAGGACGGGCUGCUGCAGAGAUUAUUUCUGGUGGCUCAAAGCCUGGUGAACGUGGCGAGCGCAGGCGAAAACGCCGUGUGCAACCUGCAGGGGAUCAUGAGAGCGCGAGUCCGAAUCCAAGCAGCAGAAAGCUCUGCGUCGCGGCGCCCCCAGCUGACCAAACGUGGCUGGAGCUCCCUUGCCGGAUGCCGGUGCUGCCGGGGAGGAAGAAGCAGGGGCGGAAGGUGGUGGUGCUGGAGGAUCCCGGCGGGAGGCGAUGGCCGGUGCUGUACCUGUGCACCCCGACCUUCAGCGGCUUCGUGGCCGGGUGGGCCGACGUGCGCGCGGAGAACGGCCUGCGGGAGGGCGACGCCUGCGAGCUCGAGCUCCGCCGCGGCAGCUACUCCGAGCUGGCGCUCCGAGUGCUGGGCGCGCCCGGUUCUACUUCUCAGUAG
rnacentral:rRNA from 1 species